UACAGAGGUGGCAAGCGUUGUUCGGAAUUACUGGGCGUAAAGGGCGCGUAGGCGGCCUCGCAAGUCCCGUGUGAAAUCCCUCGGCUCAACUGAGGAAUGGCACGGGAAACUGCGGGGCUUGAGUUCGGGAGAGGGAAGCGGAAGUUCCGGGUGUAGCGGUGAAAUGCGUAGAUAUCAGGAGGAACACCAAUAGCGAAGGCAGCUCGCUGGGACGGUACUGACGCUGAGGCGCGAAAGCGUGGGGAGCGAACAGG
rnacentral:rRNA from 1 species